AGUGGGGAAUAUUGCACAAUGGAGGAAACUCUGAUGCAGCCAUGCCGCGUGUGUGAAGAAGGCUUUCGGGUUGUAAAGCACUUUCAGUGGGGAGGAAAGGGUAUGUUUUAAUAGAACAUAUCUGUGACGUUACCCACAGAAGAAGCACCGGCUAACUCCGUGCCAGCAGCCGCGGUAAUACGGAGGGUGCGAGCGUUAAUCGGAAUUACUGGGCGUAAAGCGCGCGUAGGUGGUUAAUUAAGUCAGAUGUGAAAGCCCAGGGCUCAACCUUGGAACUGCAUUUGAAACUGGUUAACUAGAGUUUUGUAGAGGGUGGUAGAAUUUCAGGUGUAGCGGUGAAAUGCGUAGAGAUCUGAAGGAAUACCAGUGGCGAAGGCGGCCACCUGGACAAAGACUGACACUGAGGCGCGAAGGCGUGGGGAGCAAACGGGAUUAGAUACCCCGGUAGUCCACGCAGUAAACGAUGUCUAUUAGAAGUUUGUGGCUAUAUGCCGUGGGUUUCAAAGCUAACGCAUUAAAUAGACCGCCUGGGGAGUACGGCCGCAAGGUUAAAACUCAAAUGAAUUGACGGGGGCCCGCACAAGCGGUGGAGCAUGUGGUUUAAUUCGAUGCAACGCGAAGAACCUUACCAUCCCUUGACAUCCAGAGAAUCAUCGAGAGAUCGACGAGUGCCUUCGGGAACUCUGAGACAGGUGCUGCAUGGCUGUCGUCAGCUCGUGUUGUGAAAUGUUGGGUUAAGUCCCGCAACGAGCGCAACCCUUAUCCUUACUUGCCAGCGGGUUAUGCCGGGAACUUUAGGGAGACUGCCGGUGAUAAACCGGAGGAAGGUGGGGACGACGUCAAGUCAUCAUGGCCCUUACGGGAUGGGCUACACACGUGCUACAAUGGCAGAUACAAAGGGUUGCUAACCUGCGAGGGUAUGCGAAUCUCAUAAAGUCUGUCGUAGUCCGGAUCGGAGUCUGCAACUCGACUCCGUGAAGUUGGAAUCGCUAGUAAUCGUGGAUCAGAAUGCCACGGUGAAUACGU
rnacentral:rRNA from 1 species